rnacentral:rRNA from 1 species
UACGUGAGGGAGCAAGCGUUGUUCGGAUUUACUGGGCGUAAAGGGCGCGUAGGCGGCAGAUCAAGUCAGUUGUGAAAUCUCUGAGCUUAACUCAGAACUGUCCAACUGAUACUGCUCUGCUAGAGUGCGGAAGGGGCAAUCGGAAUUCUUGGUGUAGCGGUGAAAUGCGUAGAUAUCAAGAGGAACACCUGAGGUGAAGACGGGUUGCUGGGCCGACACUGACGCUGAGUGCGCGAAAGCCAGGGGAGCAAACGGG